AUUGAACGCUGGCGGCAUGCCUUACACAUGCAAGUCGAACGGUAACAGGUUAAGCUGACGAGUGGCGAACGGGUGAGUAAUAUAUCGGAACGUGCCCAGUCGUGGGGGAUAACGUAGCGAAAGCUACGCUAAUACCGCAUACGAUCUACGGAUGAAAGCGGGGGAUCGCAAGACCUCGCGCGAUUGGAGCGGCCGAUAUGAGAUUAGGUCGUUGGUGAGGUAAAAGCUCACCAAGGCUGCGAUCUGUAAGUGGUCUGAGAAGACGACCAGCCCCACUGGAACUCAGACGCAUUCCAGACGCCUCCGGGAGGCAGCAGUGGGGAAUUUUGGACAAUGGACGCAAGUCUGAUCCAGCAAUGCGGCGUGCAGGACGAAGGCCUUCGUGUUGUAAACUGCUUUUGUACGGAACGCAACGGUGAGCUCUAAUACAGUUUGCUAAUGACGGUACCGUAAGAAUAAGCACCGGCUAACUACGUGCCAGCCGCCGCCGUAA
rnacentral:rRNA from 1 species